UGCAGUCGAACGGGGUGAGGGGGCAACUCUUCAUUCAGUGGCGAACGGGUGAGUAGUGCAUCGGAACGUAUCCGCAAGUGGGGGACAACCCGGCGAAAGCCGGGCUAAUACCGCAUAUUGCUCGCGAGAGGAAAGUGGGGGACCUGCAAGGGCCUCACGCUUACGGAGCGGCCGAUGUCCGAUUAGCUGGUUGGCGGGGUAAAGGCCCACCAAGGCGACGAUCGGUAGCUGGUCUGAGAGGAUGAUCAGCCACACUGGGACUGAGACACGGCCCAGACUCCUACGGGAGGCAGCAGUGGGGAAUUUUGGACAAUGGGCGCAAGCCUGAUCCAGCCAUGCCGCGUGCGGGAAGAAGGCCUUCGGGUUGUAAACCGCUUUUAGCCGGGAAGAAAAGGGCAGGGACAACACCCCUGUUUCUUGACGGUACCGGCGGAAUAAGCACCGGCUAACUACGUGCCAGCAGCCGCGGUAAUACGUAGGGUGCGAGCGUUAAUCGGAAUUACUGGGCGUAAAGCGUGCGCAGGCGGUUCGUUAAGUUCGUUGUGA
rnacentral:rRNA from 1 species